rnacentral:ribozyme from 1 species
UUGCAAAAUCAGGGCCAUAGCAGAAGCGCUCACAGCAUGGCCAUGUGAGAUUCCAGUGAAUCUGUAAAUUUUGCU